rnacentral:lncRNA from 1 species
ACAGGACUAAUUUUUGGCCCAACCAUUUAUUCAAAAGUAAUACGUAAAUAAGUAGGAAAAAGGUGUGACCGAGCCCUGGCUUUGGGCAUCCUACAUAUCUCGGGUUAUAAGAGAUCAGGUCACGUGUAAUUCAAAUGGGUGUAAGAGUGGAAUGAAUGGACGAGUUGGAGAGUCGAGUUGAGGUCCCGUCGAGUUUCCGGUUCGUGGCUCUUUUUAUUACAUCAAAAAGUAAAACUGGAAAUAAAAGUAUAAGAUCCUGUCUAUUCUAUUUGUCUUGAUCUUCUUGCUUCCGAUCUUCCUCUUGGAUCUUCAGUUAUUGCCUCACCUUCUUCUGGUGGGUACCUUGAUCUCAAAAUUUGAUCUUACAAUUAAUAUUUGAGACUUGAACUUGAAACUUGGAUUGAGUCAUUGAUACUCUACCAAAGAAACAGUCCAUAGAAUGCUUUGGAUGUUUGUUCUCCUGAUCAGAAGCCAAGAGAUGUCGCCUGAGAUAUUGGGCCGCUAUGGAUGCAAAGCUAGCUCUAACUAUCUUCAAACUGACCAUNN